AUUGAACGCUGGCGGCAGGCCUAACACAUGCAAGUCGAGCGAGCGGCUGACGGGUGAGUAAUGUAUGGGGACUGCCCGAUAUAGGGGGAUAACUACUGGAAACGGUAGCUAAUACCGCAUACUAUCGGAUAACCCAUAUGGGAUUAGCUAGUAGGUGUGGUAAUGGCUCACCUAGGCGACGAUCCCUCGCUGGUCUGAGAGGAUGACCAGCCCCACUGGAACUGAGACACGGCCCAGACUCCUACGGAGGCAGCAGUGGGGAAUAUUGCAAAAUGGGCGAAAGCCUGAUGCAGCAAGGCCGCGUGUAGGAAGAAGGCCUGAGGGUUGUAAAGUACUUUCAGUCGGGAGGCGUUACCGAAAGAAGAAGCACCGGCUAACUCCGUGCCAGCAGCCGCGGUAAUUC
rnacentral:rRNA from 1 species